GAAGCGCGCCAGACCGCCGCUGGUGCAAUCUGGGAAACCAGGCACUGGAGGAACGUCCGGACUGCACAGGACAGCGUAGCAGCUAACGGCUGCCCACCGUGAGGUGAGGAUCAGAGCAACAGAGACGAGUCCCGGGGGAGUGCCGCAAGGUAGACCACUGGGGGUGAAACGGGCAAUCUCUACGCGCAGCAAUACCAAGUAGGCCAACGUUGAUGUGGUUCCGCAGAGUUGGCGGGUAGGUAGCACCGAGCCGUGGUGGCGACACCCGGCCCAGAUUAAUGGCGGUCACACUGCGGGCAACCGUGGUGCACAGAAUCCGGCUUAUCGGCGCGCUUCACGC
rnacentral:RNase_P_RNA from 1 species